rnacentral:lncRNA from 1 species
CUUUGAUGGUCCAAAUCUGCAUCCCCCAUCUUGCAAAGCAUCAUGAAAUAAGCAGGACUUCUUAUCAGCACCAGGACACAUCUGCAUACAACUUGCAUGAUCUGGCCCUUGCAGGAUUGUUCUCUCUGUUGUUAUACGAGGAUGUAAUGUCCAAUUUACUGAAGUCCAAUUUACUAAUCCUGAGCUAUUGGUUGUUACUGAGAAUAAGUGUUACUUUUGCACUCUUUUUACUCUCUCAGUUUCUUUCAUUCCAACCUGGUAAGGACUUAGUGAGUAUUAGGAACAGUGAAGAGUAGUUUUCCUAGGGGAUAAUUGAAAUCAACACCCCUGUGGAUUCCCUUGUCAUAUGCUGUUGGGCUUGAGACGCAGUUGCUCUAUGUGCAAGAGCAGUAAAAAAGAUGACCUCUUCUACACAGUUAUCUAUUUUUGUGUAAUUUGUAGCUGUCAAAUGCUACUGAAACUGUUUAACUGGCUCAGAAGUUACAGGCACACACACGUAGCACAACGGCACAAGCCUUAUUUCCUUAGGAAACCAUGGCUUUUCCCAUGUCACAAACAUGGGCUCUUCCUUCAGCUUGGUAUGCGUUUCGGAAAGGCUUCGCAGUCCCGCAGUGUCAUCCUUUGAAGUUUCUCCAGCAGAUCUUCGAAGGCAUUUCAGCAGCUCUCACUGCGGUACCGGUCAACGAGUGACCUCUCUGCCACCUCCCUGGUCCCUUCAUUUUGCGUCCCACGAUUCCCCCGGUGCAUCUGGAUGUUACCGGGGACACUCUGCAGACGGGAAUAGGCAGCUCUCCCUCCCACCGAUGCCUGCUGCGAGCUCGGCGGGCUCAGGGCUGCUCUCAGGUCCCAGGCUAAGAUGCGCCCGGGCCGCCCUUACCGGGCUGCCACUCCCGCACCCCGAGCGGCCGAGGCACGGUGCGGGGGGGGACGAAUCACCCCGGGCUGCCCUUGGCGGCUCCUGCCCAGGGCACCCGGGAAGUUUUCUGGCGAAGGGGAAGGCAGACAAGAGGCACGGGCGGCGAGGCGGGGGCGGCAGAGCGCGGGCAGAGGCGCGCCCAGCCGGAGGGGCCGGGGGGCCGGGGCCGGGCCGGGCCGGGCCGGGCGGGGGCGGAGGAGGGGGCACGGCCGGGAGGUGGAGCCGGCUGCGCUGGCGGCUCCGGCGCUCCGCGGCUGCCGGGCACGGGGCGCGCACGGCAGUGGGAGCCCAGCGCCGCCGGGAGCCGCCGCCGCCGCUCGGUCCGCCCGCCCGGUCCGUGCCCGGGAGCCGCCGCCGCGGGAGCCGCCGCGGGAGCCGCCAGGUAACGGGCGCGGUUCCGCUCUCGGUGCCCGGCUGGGCGCGCAGCCUUGCUCCGGCUCGGCACCCACCGCCCUGCCGCUGCCCUGGGACGCUCGGGGAUGCGGACGGGGGGCACCGCGGGGGCGGCUCGCCUACCCCGCCGCUGCGCUGUUCCCUCGGGCGAGGGGAGGAUGUGCGGGAGAGCCGUGACUCCCCGUGGUGCUGGGCGUGCAAGUUAGUGGGGCUGAGAAGCCAGCCCGCCCGCCAGUACCGCCGGCACGGGAGCUGGGGGAGGGAGCUCUGGCUGCCCGAGCCAGCUGAACUCGCCCCGCUGGUAACACCUCUCCGGGGUCGGGCCCCGGGAGCGUCUCCGGGAGCCUCAGAGCCUGCCCUCGGUAUUUCUGUAUUCUGUUGCCUCCGCGCCGACACCCCUCCCUCCGGGAUCCCUCUUACCGUAAAGGCAAGCGGAGGAGCCGGGGCGCCCGGAGGCUGUGCCCGGAGCGCCCUGCACUGCGCCUGUCGCGUGUUGGGGCGUGCCACCACCCCUGAAGUUCGGAUGAGGAAGGUUGACCAGCCUUGAUCACAGCGCUAGAGACCCGAAGCAAGGAUCCUGGCCGAUGCAUGUUCAGUGCAGCCUGACUUUUUGAGGAGAACAAGUAUUUCCCUGAAAGUCUGUCCCUUCAGAGCAGCACACAG